rnacentral:rRNA from 1 species
GUGGGGAAUAUUGGGCAAUGGGCGAAAGCCUGACCCAGCAACGCCGCGUGAGGGAAGAAGGUUUUCGGAUUGUAAACCUCUGUCCUUGGUGACGAACACAAUGACGGUAGCCAAGGAGGAAGCCCCGGCUAACUACGUGCCAGCAGCCGCGGUAAUACGUAGGGGGCAAGCGUUGUCCGGAAUGACUGGGCGUAAAGGGCGUGUAGGCGGCCGAUUAAGUCUGGAGUGAAAGUCCUGCUUUCAAGGUGGGAAUUGCUUUGGAGACUGGUUGGCUUGAGUGCGGAAGAGGCAAGUGGAAUUCCCAGUGUAGCGGUGAAAUGCGUAGAGAUUGGGAGGAACACCAGUGGCGAAGGCGACUUGCUGGGCCGUAACUGACGCUGAGGCGCGAAAGCGUGGGGAGCGAACAGGAUUAGAAACCCUAGUAGUCC